ensembl:lncRNA
CAUAUCUUCUCUGGAGAUCAAGGUCAAAACAACUCAAAGGAAGGUGGAAAUUCAGUUUCAAAAACACUCACAGCUGCCUGAAACAUAUUGAUCUAGCUCCUCUUCCCUCUACCUCCAAAGUCAUUUCUCUGAUAGACUCUGGUAGAAAUACAUUAUUUUCUUGUCAUAGGCACCACAAUGGAUCACUGUUAAGAAUAUACAGCACUUACAGAGAGAGGAGAGGGAGGAAUGCUCAGAUCAUGGUGAGCUAUAUUUGAAAUAGCAAUUCGCAGACGGCUUCCCAUCAGUCCUGUGACACUUUCCAAUUCGACAAGCUGAAAUUUCCAUCAAUCACAAACGCAUGACUACAAAUUAAGAGCAUCAAGAGCUGGACAUCUGAGAACAUCAAUAAGCAGAGAGUAGGAAAAAAAAACCCAGAUGAUUAUUCAAGUGUGGAAUUGCGAUAAUCAAGGUUUAGGGUAUAGAUAAAUGCUACGUGUCCAGUCUGGACUCCAGCUCGCCUUAGGAAUACAUAGAUGCUCCAUACACAGAAUCGCUCUGCAGAAACUUUACACAGACAGAUCAAUAAUAACGCCCGGCACUGAGACCUCGAAGGUACUGCAGUAAGCUCAGCCACUUAUGAGCUGAGCCAAGUGGCCUUUGCAGCAAAAGAAUAGCAGCUCCCUCUUAUUCCUUUGAUUUAUGCCCUUGGAAGUUGGCACAUAUUUCCACCAAGGACUGUCUAACUAUCUGAUUGAAGUGCUUGAUGUUAAGCAAAAUUGUUCUCCUUAAUUCACAAAAGAGUUAGAGAUCAAAGUAUAUGAGACCGGCUUUAGUGAAUAGAUUAGUUCCAUUUGAUUUUAAUUCCUUCAAACUGAUAAAACUCCUUUUCAAUGCUUAGCAUGGCCAGAGAGUGACAGAGACCAUGUUAAUGAGGUUACACAUUAUAUUGCCCUGUAGUGCAUGUUUUUUGUUAUCUCCAGCUGACUCGACUGCUGGAUGCUGUUCAGACACCGUCACUCCAAAGUCCUCCACCUCUCCUCCUUUGUUCUGAGCACAAAUCCUUCUUUUAUUAUCCAGGCAGCAGCGGAAGGUCCUGACCCCACUUCCCUAUUGCAGUUUCCUCCAUGUUUGAUGCCGCCCCACCCCCCUCCUGGAUUAUUGUGACUGAGUUCAUGCUGAUGAAACUCACCUGUGUUGGGAUCUGACAGGGACGUUCUACUGAGAUUUGGACACAUCAAUCAUUAAUAAGAAGAAUGUGUGGCUGCGUUGGCUUCACAGUGACCUGGAGGAGAUGGUGACACAAGGAUCCACUCUGUGAGUCUUUCUCCCAGGCUUCACAAAAAACACACACACACACAGAGAUCAACAUGCAGUUUUCUUCACUAGAAUAAUUGCGUGCCACCCCUGGCUGUCAAGCCAUGUCAGUGUCUCGUUAGCGCUGGUAUUGGCUCCGUCGUAGCUGGCAGAAUUGGGAAAGGUCAGAGUGGCAGUGUCUGCUCCGUCACACCGAGCGCAAGCUGGACAGACACGGCAGGUUCUUCCCCGUCUGUCUGGGCGAGCCUGAUCCAGGGAGGCCGCGUUACUACACAAACACCUCGGAGAGGAGCAGAUCUGUUUGGUUACAACUUGUCAGCUCUAAACGCAAUACAACGCGACUGUCAUUUUUAACAGGGCAAAUGCUUGGACACAGGAAGGGGCCAAUAUAAUGUUCACCAUGUGUAAUGGUGUAGCUUUGGAAAUAACGUCAAAGCCAGUGGUUGGAAAUCACCCACUGUAAAGUAAGUCUGUGUAAGAAAAAAAUGCAUAAGAAAAAGUUGUAAAACAACUACACUUUAAGAGAGGUGCUU